UAGUAUUAUAAUGAAUAUAAAGUGUUGAGUUCUGAAGCUGGCACACUGCAGGCCUAGAGAGAAUGUCAGUUGUUAUUAACAGCUAGUACAGGUUUGCACAUUUAAAGGAAGGUCACUGACUGGGCCAAGCUCACUCUUGGUUCUCUUUGCUUCUUCCCUCAGCCCCUGCCCUUCACUGAGAGGGAGCCAAGGUGAUGGCAGCCAUGCCCCUGAAUGCCUGGCACCAGGGGAAAAACUGCUACACCCUCAGCCUCAGAAGAUGUCAGGCAGGGAUGGAGGGAGAAGUCUGAGCAUACCCAGUUUGCAGACUUGCCCUGAUCUCACUUCUGGAAGGAGGGGAUUUGCCUUGGGGUCUGGAGACACAGGAUGAUCCCCCUGCAGAGGGUACCAGUGAUGUCUCUAAAGGUAGGUGAGGCAGGUUUAGAACC
rnacentral:lncRNA from 1 species